UACGGGGGGGGCAAGCGUUGUUCGGAAUUACUGGGCGUAAAGGGCUCGUAGGCGGCCAACUAAGUCAGACGUGAAAUCCCUCGGCUUAACCGGGGAACUGCAUCUGAUACUGGAUGGCUUGAGUUCGGGAGAGGGAUGCGGAAUUCCAGGUGUAGCGGUGAAAUGCGUAGAUAUCGGGAGGAACACCAGUGGCGAAGGCGGCUUCCUGGCCUGUUCUUGACGCUGAGGCGCGAAAGCUAGGGGAGCAAACGGG
rnacentral:rRNA from 1 species